ACAUAUGAUCUGCAUCUUUGC
rnacentral:miRNA from 1 species